AAUUCAUUAGAGUUCAUGGGUUGAGUUGAAUUGGAUUGACCCAUGAAACUUGACCUAUUUUGACAACCCUAAAAAUAGUCUAUAAAAAAACAAUUGUAAAU
rnacentral:sRNA from 1 species